rnacentral:lncRNA from 1 species
UUUUAUCACAGAACUUUUAAUUUAUUCUCAUCAAAAGCACUCUAUUCAACUUAAUUAGGCAUUUUUUUCAAUCAUAUAUCACUGUUAGGUACACACAUGAAAAGAAAACAUAAAUGGGCCAGUUCCAGUGGCUUAGUGGUGAAGUUUGGUGCUCUCCGCUUUGGUGGCCCAGGUUCAGUUCCCAGGCAUGGACCUACACCAUUCAUCUGUCAGUGGCCAUGCUGUAGCAGCGGCUCAUGUACAAAAAGGGGAAGAUUGGCAGUAGAUAUUUGCUCGGGGCAAAUCUUCCUCAGCAAAGAAAGAAAGAAAGAAAGAAAACAUAAGCAAAACUAAUUGCUUAAGUCUCUAAAACUUCUUCACAUUCAGAAUCCAACUCUUCUGAAUCACCUUUACUCUGAGUGGCUGGUGGCCAGGUCAUUUUCAUGUAACAUUGCCCUCUGUGACAUCAAGAGCACAGAUGAUGCUACAUUCCUUCUAAGAGGGCUCCACUACCAUCUCUGGGAUUUUCUUCGGAGCUGCUGACACCCAUUUUGCAAGUUUUGAUUCUGGACUUUCUUGGUCUCACCAGAAGGUGUCAAUGGAAGAUUUACAGACAAGAACCCAGGAGUCCUUCUUCAAAUGGCCCCUAACUGGUUUGUGGCUAGAACAUGGCAGGGCUCAUGUUGUCCGGAAAAGCCACCAGGAAGAACAAUCCCCUUCUGGCACAGGCAGGCAGCAGUACCCACAUCGCGACUGUUACAUCUCCAACAGUCAUUGUGAUGAUGUCACGCCUGGUGAAAUCGCAUCCCGAUUUCAGAGACAGGAACGUGUGGAAAACCUCAAAAGGGAUGAACUUCAGUUGCUGGGUGACUGCGCUCUCGUGUGCUCUGGGCUAACUAGACUCACGCAGUUCUAGAAGCUGUAGGGAGAACCGACUCCCCCUGCUUGGUGGCAGAGGUGGCCUUUGAGCAGCAGCCUGAAGCAUAAAGAGGAAUGCACCACAAAGCCAGGGGAAGGCACUCCGGGCUGAAGGACCAGCCUGUGCCGUACAUGGAAGCAUGAAGAAUCCUGGCACCCCUGGCACCAGGACUCGAACCGGCAUAGGACCCACGACAGGGCAGGCAAUGAACAAAGGGAUGAAUGAAUUCAGCUAGUGGUAACAAACCUAGAACCAGAAGUCAAACCUCCUGACGCUUCCUUCCUGCCUCCCCCAGCCCAUGCUCAAGCUUACCUCUGAUCAAAAGGACAAUCGCCCUUUGUUAUUUACCUGGAAUUCUCUCGGAAUAUUCACCCAGAAUCCUCUUGGGUUGCUCACCCAGAAUCCUGGCUCCUCAUCUCAGAAAGUAGAACUUUCAGAACACCAAUCAAAGGCAUUUUGAGGGCAAAGGCGUGAAAAUCCUCGUUGCUAAGGCAGCUUUGCCAACUUCACUGGAUGAGGGUCUCCAGCUGUGAAAAGGAGCAUAGAAUUAAGACAGCCUUCAGUCCUCAACACCACCUCCAGCCCUGCGUUCCCACAUAAUGGUCACCGGGAGAUAUUAGCAUCUAAAUUAUUUUAAGGAGAUAUAAUAAGAUUCACCCAGCAGGCCAUUAAUGACGAAAGAGAUUAUUACUGGAAAAAAUCCAAGACUGACUUUGAGCAGAGUUGGUUCAUCUAAAUGACCCUUUCCCUGCACCUCAGAUGAUCCUGGUCCCCAGAGAUUAUACAGAUUUGAAAAAAGAAGCUGCCAUGGAACACGCGCACGCUUAUGCAAGAGGGUCUUACGGAAGGAAUCUCUGGAGAAUUAGGGUCAGGAGUGCGUAGCAGCGAGAUAAAUGAGAUGUUCCUUGAAUCGUAAGAAUCCACUGUGGCAGAAUUUACAGGAAGCAUCUCCAGUCUCCAGAUUUGGCAGGCAUCCAGCCAGAGUUGUCAAGUAUUAGAUUAAUUUUAAUUCAAUGCAAAAAACCACAUUAGUGUAGUGUUGCGAUUGAGAGUUGAAACAUACAAAAGCCAAGAGUCCUUGAAGUGAAUCAUUCCAGAGCCUGAGCGUCAUUUCAAGCGUCCAUCAAAAAGGCACGUUCUUCAGAGCAUUCCCCAGCCAUCCGCCACCUUCAAAUCGUACCCACUUAGCCAGGUAAAUGAGCCACUUGGCAGUGAUGGAGCUGUUGAUUAAUGUCACUUCACAGGUCCUGGUCACAGGAGUUAAAGUUCAAACUCCUGACAUGGCAUUCAAGACCCUCCAUGAUCUAGCUUCGAAUGCCCUCCACAACCCCAUCUCUCAGUACAACCCUCCACGUUUUGCAGGCUGCAGCCACACCCGCCCUUUGACCACCAUUGGUAAUCUUCCUGCCACCCUUAACUUGCACUCCUUGCUCAAUCUAUUCCACUCAGAGCCCUGGAAGGGAGCAGCCCAAAAUAUUAUGCCUUACCAGAGUGCCCCCUCCUCCAAGCCCCGGCUUAUUGUUGAUGGGGAGCAGAGUCACAAGUGAUCCGGCACCAGCCCCAAGCCUGCAUUCCUCACUCCGCGAUGCCAAGGCCCUGCAGCUACCCCGACCAGCCUCCUUAGAAGGCAGUUUGGAGACCAUCUCUUGUUCCUUCAGCAGACCCCUUGUGUUCUCAGCUCCCACCAACAAGCAGCUUAUCAAAGUACUCCUUCAUUGUCUCAUCCAAGAAGAUUUCUAAAAACAUGCCCUUUUCUCCAUCAGGUUACAGGUCCAAAGAUGCCCCUUAUACAAGUGCCAUCUGCCCAGCUGCCCCACCCAUAAUCCAGCCCUGGGUGCCUUGGCGGGGGAGGGCUGGCCUGACCCAGCUGGACCUCGUGGCGUCCAGGGGAGCUUGGGGUGGCCUCACCUAAGACUGUGGAACACUAGAAGCAGGGGUGAGCUCAGCAGAAGCCAUGGGGGAGGUCGAGGUCCGAGUGCCCCUGGAGGAGAGUCAGGUAAGCUGUGACUCUAAGAGGAGCAAGAGGGAGGGUGGGCUGAGCACAGUGGUCUUCUUGUCUUCUCCUUGCAGAAGUGAGAGAAAUCUCAGAGGUCACCAAGUCCAAGCUGGAGGAACCCCUAAAGCCUCCACUGGUCCCCUCCAGUGACCAGAAAAGGAGAAGGGCACUCACAUCCAUUGAGACCUACUACGUGCCGUGCACAGGACUAGAUGCUUCACGCACAGUGCCCAGCCACGAUUCCCAACAGCCCUGUGGACUUGAUUCCGUUGUUCCUGAUUUAAGGAUAGGACAGAGUUGAAACUGAGGCUUGGAGAGAUUAAGUGACUUGCCCAGGGCCCCUCUAUUGGAGCCAGGAUUUGACUCCAAAGUCCAUGCUCUUCUCCAAUGCACCCUAAAUUUUUUAGUUAAACACUUAUGAACCACUUACGACGUGUUAAGUUUUGCAUUCGACAUUUUCACUUGCAGUUACCACAUUCAGUCUUCAGGACCACCUGCAAGGUUAGUAUCAUAGUCCAUUUUACAGAUGAGGAACCAAGGUCCAGAAAAAUCAAGCACUGCGUGCAAGCAGUAAGUGGUGGAGCCAAGAUUUGAACCCAGAUUUGUUGAUCAAGUCCAGCCCUCCCCCCAUGAUUCCCGAGCUGAUGGAAAGCAGCUCACGAUCUCACAGCAGAACAGCCUAAAUUGGAGAAGCUCCGACUGAAAAUUACAAAACACUUGGAAGGGAGAUUACAUGGCUGUCAGCCAGCUCAGGUCCUGAGGAUUAGAACGUGGACAUCUUUGGGGGCCACGAUUCUGCCCAUCACAGAGACCUCAUGGGAUUGUGUCUAAGGAUUAGAUGGAACAACGCAUGUAAACAGCUGAAACCCAAUGCCCGGCACUUGGAAAGCAACACCAAGUGAGACAGCACUGGCCUCCCACAGGCCCUGGCAUAAAGUGGGCUCCCAGGAAACGUUCCAGGAAAGGCUGAGGAAGGGCACCAUCGUGCAGCUCUCAGGGAGCAGGCACAGCAUUGGGCAUGGGUCCCACAGCUCCGACUCUCAGCACAGAGGUGGGGCCCCCCGGCUACCUUCACAGUUGGUCCAAGAUUAUCCACCGUCAGCCCACUGGGCUGGGCAGGGCUGGGGAGGCUGAGCAGCGUGGCCCCCGCCUCCUGCUCCCUGUUAAGAUGCCAGUCUUCUGGAGGAAAUGUUCGACGUGAACAAUUAACCUGCAUGUGCAAGAGCCACGCUUGGAGCAGAGCAGGAACUUGGUCUGCAUUUCUUUCUCUGCCCAAAUGCAUGACUGGGUUGUCACCCACUGGCCUGGAAAAUUUCCGUUUAGCAGCAUCACUCUCUUCUGUUGGGAGAACUAGCCCGGGGCAGAGACUCGACACACCUUUGCUCUCUGAGCUCCACUCAAUGCAUCUUCAUGAGACUGAAGAGCAAGGGUAGAAACCAGAAACCCAGAAUACCUUCACUGCUUCCUCUUGCAAUAUUGGGGCUGUGGGGCAGGCUAACGUAUUGAGUGGUUGAGUUGCAAGUACUCUCCUUCUGCUCUCCUGUCUCACGUGGGCCAUGACGGUGGCCAGGCCCUUCAGGCCCCCUCCUUUCCUUGGUGAGGUUUGUUUGACAACAAGAGGUCCAGAAAGGGGGCAGAGGUUGCCAGCAAAACAAUUCCCUUCCUGGUUUUUGUUUCUUAAACCCUGAACUCUUUGAAGAAGAGAGUCUGGGGUUAUCUCCCUGCCCAUAUUAUCCAGCCUCACUUCUUUCCAGUUCCGUCACACAAGGUGCAUGCAUACGUAGACAUAGACACACACACAUCAACACACACAAUGCAUACACACGCACACAUGUACGUGUGUACACAUAUGUGUUCGUACCCACACAUGCAUAUGCAUGUGUGCACACAUAUUCGUGUGUGAUAGUGCACAUGUAUGUGUGUGCAUGUAUACAUAUGCACACGUGCAUGCAGGUUCGUGUGCGCAUGCAUGUACAAACACACAGCCACAGGUGUGUGGGCAUGCAUGCAUGCACAUAUAUGCAUAUUGAACUGCUUCAGUUCCUGAACUCAUGCUUUCUCCUCUCCCACCUCACACUGCCUGCCCCCAAGGCCUUUAUAACUGCUGCAUCCCCUUUCUGGAACAUUCUUUACCCUCUACCCUUUUUUACCUAGCUACCUCUUCAUCUUAUACCAGGUCCACACUUGAACUUUGAGCACGUGGUAUUGUAACUGCCUGUUUACUCGUCUGCCUGAGCAACAAAAUACACAAGUCUAGCCGGCUCACCUUUAUAUUCCUGGUACUUAGCAUGGGCUUCUUAUGACUGUUUGUGAAAUGAAAGGGUGAGUAGAUGGAUGAAUGGAU